UUUCUGUGUUACAGUGAAGAUGGUCAAGAGAUUCUCAUUAGUUACUCUUCAGAUUACAUAUAUCUUUUUGACCCGAAAGAUGAUACAGCACGAGAACUUAAAACUCCUUCUGCGGAAGAGAGAAGAGAAGAGUUACGACAACCACCAGUUAAGCGUUUGAGCCUUCGUGGUGAUUGGUCAGAUACUGGACCCAGAUCAAGGCCUGAGAGUGAACGAGAAUGACAUGGAGAGCAGAGUCCCAAUGUGUCAUUGAUGCAGAGAAUGUCUGAUAUGUUAUCAAGACGGUUCGAAGAAGCAAGUGAGGUUGCACAAAGCAAUAGAGGAUGAGGAAGAUCUUGACCCAGAGGUGGAACAAGUCAAUCAGAUAUUUCAACUCUUCCUAUGGUCCCAUCAAGUCCUGAUUUGGAAACAGUGAACAAAGGCAGUCUGUUGAGGCAUCUGGACACCACACACAUCAUCAGACUGAU
rnacentral:lncRNA from 1 species